rnacentral:rRNA from 1 species
AAUCUACCUUUUACGGUGGGAUAGCCCAGAGAAAUUUGGAUUAAUACCACAUAGUAUAUAUGAAUGGCAUCAUUUAUAUAUUAAAGUUACAACGGUAAAAGAUGAGCAUGCGUCCCAUUAGCUAGUUGGUGUGGUAACGGCACACCAAGGCGACGAUGGGUAGGGGUCCUGAGAGGGAGAUCCCCCACACUGGUACUGAGACACGGACCAGACUCCUACGGGAGGCAGCAGUGAGGAAUAUUGGACAAUGGGCGCAAGCCUGAUCCAGCCAUGCCGCGUGCAG